rnacentral:rRNA from 1 species
CCCUUAGAUGUCCUGGGCCGCACGCGUGCUACACUGACGCCUACAGCGAGUACUUCCCAGCCCCGAGAGGUGGCUGGUAAUCAGCAAUAGGCGUCGUGAUGGGGACAGAUCUUUGGAAUUAUGGAUCUUGAACGAGGAAUGCCUAGUAAGCGCAGGUCAUUAGCCUGCGCUGAUUAAGUCCCUGCCCUUUGUACACACCGCCCGUCGCUCCUACCGAUUUCGAGUGGUCCGGUGAAUCUUUCGGACUGCGCGCGGCCUCGUGCCGUGUCGCGGAAAGUCAGGUAAACCUUAUCACUUAGAGGAAGGAGAAGUCGUAACA